GACUGGAGUCUGCAACUCGGCUGCAUGAAGCUGGAAUCGCUAGUAAUCGCGGAUCAGAAUGCCGCGGUGAAUACGUUCCCGGGUCUUGUACACACCGCCCGUCACACCAUGGGAGUCGGAACGCCCGAAGCCGGUGGCCGAACCCUAACGGGGAGGAGCCGUCGAAGGCGGGCCUGGUAACUGGGGUGAAGUCGUAACAAGGUAUC
rnacentral:rRNA from 1 species